GACUCCUUGAGAGUCCUGAAGGAACGUUGAAGACGAUGACGUUGAUAGGCCGGGUGUGUAAGCGCAGCGAUGCGUUGAGCUAACCGGUACUAAUGAACCGUGAGGCUUAACCUUACAACGCCGAAG
rnacentral:rRNA from 1 species